AACUUAAGCAUAUCAAUAAGCGGAGGAAAAGAAACCAACAGGGAUUGCCCUAGUAACGGCGAGUGAAGCGGCAACAGCUCAAAUUUGAAAUCUGGCUCUUUCAGAGUCCGAGUUGUAAUUUGCAGAGGGCGCUUUGGCUUUGGCAGCGGUCCAAGUUCCUUGGAACAGGACGUCACAGAGGGUGAGAAUCCCGUACGUGGUCGCUAGCUAUUGCCGUGUAAAGCCCCUUCGACGAGUCGAGUUGUUUGGGAAUGCAGCUCUAAAUGGGAGGUAAAUUUCUUCUAAAGCUAAAUAUUGGCCAGAGACCGAUAGCGCACAAGUAGAGUGAUCGAAAGAUGAAAAGCACUUUGGAAAGAGAGUCAAACAGCACGUGAAAUUGUUGAAAGGGAAGCGCUUGCAGCCAGACUUGCUUGCAGUUGCUCAUCCGGGCUUUUGCCCGGUGCACUCUUCUGCAGGCAGGCCAGCAUCAGUUUGGGCGGUGGGAUAAAGGUCUCUGACACGUUCCUUCCUUCGGGUUGGCCAUAUAGGGGAGACGUCAUACCACCAGCCUGGACUGAGGUCCGCGCAUCUGCUAGGAUGCUGGCGUAAUGGCUGUAAGCGGCCCGUCUUGAAACACGGACCAAGGAGUCUAACAUCUAUGCGAGUGUUUGGGUGUCAAGCCCGAGCGCGUAAUGAAAGUGAACGGAGGUGGGAACCCGCAAGGGUGCACCAUCGACCGAUCCUGAAGUUUACGGAAGGAUUUGAGUAAGAGCAUGGCUGUUGGGACCCGAAAGAUGGUGAACUAUGCUUGAAUAGGGUGAAGCCAGAGGAAACUCUGGUGGAGGCUCGCAGCGGUUCUGACGUGCAAAUCGAUCGUCAAAUUUGGGCAUAGGGGCGAAAGACUAAUCGAACUAUCUAGUAGCUGGUUCCUGCCGAAGUUUCCCUCACGAUAGCAGUAACGUAUUCAGUUUUAUGAGGUAAAGCGAAUGAUUAGAGGCAUGGGGGUUGAAACAACCUUCACCUAUUCUCAAACUUUAAAUAUGUAAGAAGCCCUUUGUUACUUAAUUGAACGCGGGCAUUUGAAUGAAACG
rnacentral:rRNA from 1 species